AUGCGCUCAGCGCUGACAACAAUAAUUACAAUUUUAAUUGUAAUGAUAAUUGCCUUGGACCCACCCACGCUGCCGAGGACAUCGAUGCCGCCCUGGGAGGGGAAGAAUGAGCAGGUCCAGCAUUCCACGCAGCAGGGGCCACACCUGGAACCCUCCUCCCCACACCCACCUGCAUCCCAAACCCAGCUCCAGCCUCGAGCUCCACCUGUGGCACCUCCCACGGGAGGAGAGAGGCUCAGCAGGAAAAGGAGACAGGGAAAAACAGCGCCAGGAAAAAGAAGAGGUCUCCGUGAUGCCCAGAGGAGCUGCGGCUGCCCCAUCCCCGGCAGCGCCCGAGGCCAGGCCGGACAGGGACAGUGGGAGGUGUCCCUGCCAUGGCACGGGUGGGGCUGGAUGGGCUUUAGGGUUCUUCCCACCCGAACCACUCCACAAUCCCAUGCUCAGGAUGUUUCUUUCCUGCGCUCCGCGGGCUCCAGCGCUCCUCAGUGCAGGGGAGAGCUUCACCCACCCAAAAAAAGGGCGAAACAGCCCCUCCAAGGCAGGAUGAGCUCCCGGUUUCCGGAGUGCUCUGGCUGUGACUCAGCUCCUCAGAAUCUGAGCCCAGGAGUUAAAAUUCGGGAUGACUCAGCCCUGGUCCUUGAUUUUACAGGGAUUACAGGGUGGCCCUGGCACACUUCACACACGUGGGGACGGCCACGAGCCUCGGGCCACGUCAGCCCAGCCUCCCGGGGCCAAGAGCAGCGGAGCAGGAGGAGAUUCCUGCUGAUUCCUGCUCUGCCUCCAGGUGCUGGCUCGAGCCUGCAUCCUGAGCCCGCAUCCCGAGCUCGCAUCCCGAGCUCCAAACCCCCCGAGGGCACAGGCUCGGUGCCAGAUUUCCCUCCGAGAUGCAUCGGGAUGGGCAGCGGCUCCAGGAAUCCCCCAGCCCCACGAGUGCCCCUCUGCAGGAAUCCCAGCGCUGACCCGGAGCAGGGCUGGGGCUCGGCCCCUCUGCGCCCUGCGGGGCUGCACCGCAGCAUUGGGGAUUUGGGAAAACGUCUCCAUGGAAAAGGGCGUCCAGCAGGGCAGUGGGGGAGGCCCCAUCCCAGGAAACGUUCAGAGGGAGAGUGGAUGUGGCACUUGGGGACAGGAGUUUGUGGGCAUCGGGGCCAAGGUUGA
rnacentral:lncRNA from 13 species